GCAUACGGUGUUAUAUCAUUUUUG
rnacentral:siRNA from 1 species